GAUGAACGCUGGCGGCGUGCCUAAUACAUGCAAGUCGAGCGAACAGACGAGGAGCUUGCUCCUCUGACGUUAGCGGCGGACGGGUGAGUAACACGUGGAUAACCUACCUAUAAGACUGGGAUAACUUCGGGAAACCGGAGCUAAUACCGGAUAAUAUAUUGAACCGCAUGGUUCAAUAGUGAAAGACGGUUUUGCUGUCACUUAUAGAUGGAUCCGCGCCGCAUUAGCUAGUUGGUAAGGUAACGGCUUACCAAGGCAACGAUGCGUAGCCGACCUGAGAGGGGGAUCGGCGACACUGGAACUGAGACACGGUCCAGACUCCUACGGGAGGCAGCAGUAGGGAAUCUGCCGCAAUGGGCGAGAGCCUGACGGAGCAACGGCGCGUGAGUGAUGAAGGUCUUCGGAUCGUAAAACUCUGUUAUUAGGGAAGAACAAAUGUGUAAGUAGCUAUGCACGUCUUGACGGUACCUAAUCAGAAAGCCACGGCUAACUACGUG
rnacentral:rRNA from 1 species